GUGAUAUUUAUUGGUCUAGGUUUACGCAUAGAUAAUACCGUAUGAUUGCCGACUCAUGAAUUCUCGACGUUAUGUUGCGAAACGCGUGAAACGGCGAGAAAGGUGGUUAAUCACUUCCGGUCUUCUGUUCUCGCUGUUUGUUUACUAUAGGCCCAGUAGCGAUAUUUUUAUUUAGCGCUUUCUUGUAGUAUUAAAUGUGGCAUCAUCUGGUUAAAUGGUAACGAGAAAUAGAAGCAAUGUUCGAGCAGAACGUACUGGUACCCGUCUUUUGUUUGCUACCUAGGGGCCUAGGGGAGUGCCAGCUUGUGAAGCAAAUAUAUUUCAUGUUGAUUUAUUGUGAUACUGAUAAAUAAUUAAAAUAAACCAUUCAAGCUAUGUGUAAUGUGUUUGUAUGGUUAUGUUGAUGGUUAAAUAGGUUGAGAAUUGAAGCCAAAUGACCAAUUUUCGCGAAAAAGGGAUCUGCCAGUUGGUGUUACAGAAUUCAGUCAAUUUUGCUCCGAUAUUGAUAAGGUUGGUUUUGUUACAAUGCUGAGAUGUAUGGCUUUUCAGGAAAUAACACGGUUCUGGAGAAAAAUUAAUAUUUAAAAAUAGCUGCCGGUCGAUAUUUAAGGAUAUGGGUUUACUGUUCCAUGUAAUUAAAUUAAUCAUUAAAAAUAUAACCUACAAUUUUUGUUUCAAUUAAAUAAGUUAAUCUUAACAAUAAUAUUAGGCUAUUGCAUUUUUUGAUUUAAAUAAUUUAAUCUUAUCAGUUGAGGAAGAAGAGUUGGUAUUUCAAUCUAAUAAGGUGCCUAUAAAUUAUAUAAUUAUUCAUCCAAUUAUGUAACAUUAACAUUGUCUGAUCGCUUUAUUUAAUAAUACAUUUAUUAAUUUAUCAUAAAAGUAUUGUUAAUUAAAGAUGCGUUUUUAAAUGUUAAACAGGCAUGAUGUAAGAGCUAAAUCUGCUUAUUGCAGGUCUUUCUUUGGGCCUUAAUGUUAUGUAAAUUAUCAAUUAGACAUUUAUUUACAUGAAUAGACCAUAAUCAACUCUCAUGCCAUCUGAUUGCUCAGAU